rnacentral:rRNA from 1 species
CCUCCAGACUCCUACGGGAGGCAGCAGUGAGGAAUAUUGGUCAAUGGGCGCGAGCCUGAACCAGCCAAGUCGCGUGAGGGAUGAAGGAUCUAUGGUUCGUAAACCUCUUUUAUAAGGGAAUAAAGUGCGGGACGCGUCCCGCUUCGCAUGUACCUUAUGAAUAAGGAUCGGCUAACUCCGUGCCAGCAGCCGCGGUAAUACGGAGGAUCCGAGCGUUAUCCGGAUUUAUUGGGUUUAAAGGGUGCGUAGGCGGCCUUUUAAGUCAGGGGUGAAAGUCUGGGGCUCAACCAUAGAAGUGCGGUUGAAACUGGGGGGCUUGAGUAUGUUGGAGGAAGGCGGAAUGCGUGGUGUAGCGGUGAAAUGCAUAGAUAUCACGCAGAACCCCGAUUGCGAAGGCAGCCUGCCAAGCCAUGACUGACGCUGAUGCACGAAAGCGCGGGUAUCGAACAGGAUUAGAUACCCCUGUAA